CCUACGUGAGGCUGCAGUGAGGAAUAUUGGUCAAUGGGCGCGAGCCUGAACCAGCCAAGUCGCGUGAAGGAUGACUGCCCUACGGGUUGUAAACUUCUUUUAUAAAGGAAUACAGUGAGGCACGUGUGCCUUUUUGUAUGUACUUUAUGAAUAAGGAUCGGCUAACUCCGUGCCAGCAGCCGAGGUAAUACGGAGGAUCCGAGCGUUAUCCUGAUUUAUUGGGUUUAAAGGGAGCGUAGAUGGGUUGUUAAGUCAGUUGUGAAAGUUUGCGGCUCAACCGUAAAAUUGCAAUUGAUACUGGCAGUCUUGAGUACAGUUGAGGUAGGCGGAAUUCGUGGUGGAGCGGUGAAAUGCUUAGAUAGCACGAAGAACACCGAUUGCGAAGGCAGCUUACUAAACUGCCACUGACAUUGAUGCUCGAAAGUGUGGGUAUCAAACAGGAUUAGAUACCCGGGUAGUC
rnacentral:rRNA from 1 species